UCUAAAAUACAGGUGUAUGUCUUUGGCAUGUAGUGCAAAGAUGAAUUGUUAAUGAAUAUCUUUGGUCGUGGUACAAAGAUGAAAUUAUUAGUAUGAUUAUGAGUAGGAAUUCUGAUUUGGUAUAACUAUGAUUUUUGAUGUUUCAGGUGAAGAUAGGUGAUGAGAAUUAUCUUCGUCCUAGUUGCGAAGAGGAAUUUAGAACCACAAUUAUGAUUAUGAGUUAUUCAUAUGAUUGUGGAUAGGAACUGUUGAUUUAUUUUACAUGGAUAAAAUAUUAUUGGUGGACUUUUAACAUAGAGAAGAUAAUAGACCUUAUGGUCUAUUUGACUCUUCUAAUGGAUUGCUCGUUCCGCUGCAACUAUAGUUGAAAAGUUUUAUCAUCUACCAUAUGUUCUAAAUCUCUGAUUUAUUAUUGAUGAAAGCUAUUGAUAAUUUAAUUAUCUUUAGUCAUGAUAUUCCUUACUGGGCUAGUUGUGCUCACCCUUUCUACAUCACAAUUCAUUUCAGGUAAUAAGAGUGUUGUCGUAAGAGUGUUGCCGGGUCGAGCGGGGAUAACAGGGGAAUAGAAUAGUGGUCUCUAGCUGUGGAGGUUCUCCUUAAACAGUAUAGAAGGGUGUUUUGUCACUAUCAUACAAGAUGUCUAAUGACAUACAACCUCGUGUUAUUAUAAGACAGGGUUGUGCGCAUCCACUUGCUGAGUAUAUCUA
rnacentral:lncRNA from 1 species